rnacentral:rRNA from 1 species
GAGGGGUAACAUUUCGUAGCAAUACGGAGAUGACGACCGGCGGAUGGGUGCGUAACGCGUAUGCAACCUACCCGAUACAGGGGGAUAAUAAUCUGAAAAGGUUUCUAAUACCCCAUAGUUAUGUAAUUCGGCAUCGGAUUAGAUAUAAAGUUUCGAUGGUAUCGGAUGGGCAUGCGUAACAUUAGCUAGUUGGAGAGGUAACGGCUCACCAAGGCGAUGACGUUUAGGGGUCUUGAGAGGGAGGUCCCCCACACUGGAACUGAGAACGGUCCAGACUCCUACGGGAGGCAGCAGUGAGGAAUAUUGGUCAAUGGACGGAAGUCUGAACCAGCCAUGCCGCGUGAAGGAAGACGGUCUUAUGGAUUGUAAACUUCUUUUCUAUCGGAGUAAUAAUAGGUUUGCGAACUUGUUUGCAAGUACGAUAGGAAUAAGCAUCGGCUAACUCCGUGCCAGCAGCCGCGGUAAUACGGGGGAUGCGAGCGUUAUCCGGAAUUAUUGGGUUUAAAGGGUGCGUAGGCUGUAUAGUAAGUCAGAGGUGAAAGGUUACGGCUCAACUGUGACAUUGCCUUUGAUACUGUUAUGCUAGAAUAUGGAGGCGGCAGGCGGAAUGAGUCAAGUAGCGGUGACAUGCGUAGAUAUGACUCAGAACACCGAUUGCGAAGGCAGCUUGCCAUACCAUUAUUGACGCUGAUGCACGAAGGCGUGGGUAGCGAACAGGAUUAGAUACCCUGGUAGUCUGCGCAGUAAACGAUGAUAACUCGUUGUCGGCGAUAUACUGUCGGUGACCAAGCGAAAGCGAUAAGUUAUCCACCUGGGGAGUACGAUCGCAAGGUUGAAACUCAAAGGAAUUGACGGGGGCCCGCACAAGCGGAGGAGCAUGUGGUUUAAUUCGAUGAUACGCGAGGAACCUUACCCGGGUUAGAACGUUGCAGGGAUUACACAGAGAUGUGUAAGCUUUUCGGAGCUUGUAACGAGGUGCUGCAUGGUUGUCGUCAGCUCGUGCCGUGAGGUGUCAGGUUAAGUCCUAUAACGAGCGCAACCCUUACGUAUAGUUACCAUCAUUAGGUUGGGGACUCUAUACGGACUGCCGGCGUAAGCUGAGAGGAAGGGGGGGAUGACGUCAAAUCAGCACGGCCCUUAUGUCCGGGGCGACACACGUGCUACAAUGGUUAUUACAGAGGGCAGCUACACAGUGAUGUGAUGCGAAUCUCGAAAGGUAAUCAUAGUUCGGAUCGGAGUCUGCAACUCGACUCCGUGAAGUUGGAUUCGCUAGUAAUCGCAGAUCAGCCAUGCUGCGGUGAAUACGUUCCCGGGCC